rnacentral:rRNA from 1 species
ACUCCUACGGGAGGCAGCAGUGGGGAAUAUUGCACAAUAGGGGGAAACCCUGAUGCAGCCAUGCCGCGUGUGUGAAGAAGGCCUUCGGGUUGUAAAGCACUUUCAGUAGGGAGGAAGGUAGUGUAGUUAACACCUGCAUUAUUUGACGUUACUACAGAAGAAGCACCGGCUAACUCCGUGCCAGCAGCCGACGGUAAUACGGAGGGUGCGAGCGUUAAUCGGAAUUACUGGGCGUAAAAGCGCAUGCAGGCGGCCUGUUAAGUCAGAUGUGAAAGCCCGGGGCUUAAACCUCGGAAAUUGCAUUUGAAAACUAGGCAAGGCUAGAGUCUUGUAGAGGGGGGUAGAAUUUCAGGUGUAGCGGUGAAAAUGCGUAGAGAUCUGAAGGAAUACCAGU